rnacentral:rRNA from 1 species
CCAUCAGAACUCCGCAGUCAAGUACGCUUGGGCCAGAUUAGUACUGGGAUGGGUGACCUCCCGGGAAGUCCUGGUGCUGCACCC